UGGGGAAUAUUGCACAAUGGGGGAAACCCUGAUGCAGCAACGCCGCGUGAAGGAAGAAGGCUUUCGGGUUGUAAACUUCUUUUAAGGGGGAACAGUAGAAGAGGGUACCCCUUGAAUAAGCCACGGCUAACUACGUGCCAGCAGCCGCGGUAAUACGUAGGUGGCGAGCGUUGUCCGGAAUGACUGGGCGUAAAGGGCGCGUAGGCGGCUUGAUAAGUUAGAAGUGAAAGUCCUGCUUUCAAGGUGGGAAUUGCUUUUAAUACUGUUGAGCUUGAGUGCAGAAGAGGUAAGCGGAAUUCCAAGUGUAGCGGUGAAAUGCGUAGAGAUUUGGAAGAACACCAGUGGCGAAGGCGGCUUACUGGGCUGUAACUGACGCUGAGGCGCGAAAGCGUGGGGAGCGAACAGGAUUAGAUACCCUGGUAGU
rnacentral:rRNA from 1 species